rnacentral:rRNA from 1 species
UACGUAGGGGGCAAGCGUUGUCCGGAUUUACUGGGCGUAAAGGGCGCGUAGGCGGUCAGCACAAGUCAGUUGUGAAAUCUCCGGGCUUAACUCGGAAAGGUCAACUGAUACUGUGCGACUAGAGUGCAGAAGGGGCAACUGGAAUUCUCGGUGUAGCGGUGAAAUGCGUAGAUAUCGAGAGGAACACCUGCGGCGAAGGCGGGUUGCUGGCUGACACUGACGCUGAUGCGCGAAAGCCAGGGAGCGAACGGG